rnacentral:rRNA from 1 species
CCUACGGGUGGCAGCAGUGGGGGAUAUUGCACAAUGGGGGAAACCCUGAUGCAGCGACGCCGCGUGUGGGAAGACGGUCCUCUGGAUUGUAAACCACUGUCCCCAGGGACGAAGAUGACGGUACCUGGGGAGGAAGCUCCGGCUAACUACGUGCCAGCAGCCGCGGUAAUACGUAGGGAGCGAGCGUUGUCCGGAAUUACUGGGUGUAAAGGGAGCGUAGGCGGGAUGGCAAGUUAGGUGUUAAAUCUACCGGCUCAACUGGGAGUCGCACUCAAAACUGCUAUUCUUGAGUGAAGUAGAGGUAGGCGGAAUGCCUAGGGUAGCGGUGAAAUGCGUAGAUAUUAGGAGGAACACCGGUGGCGAAGGCGGCAUGCUGGGCUUUUACUGACGCUGAGGCUCGAAAGUGUGGGGAGCAAACAGGAUUAGAUACCCCAGUAGUC